rnacentral:rRNA from 1 species
UACGUAGGGACCGAGCGUUGUCCGGAAUCAUUGGGCGUAAAGAGCGUGUAGGCGGCCUUUUAAGUCCUGCGUGAAAUCCUGCGGCUCAACCGCAGACGGUCGUGGGAAACUGGAAGGCUAGAGUGCGGGAGAGGAGAGUGGAAUCCCCGGUGUAGCGGUGAAAUGCGCAGAUAUCGGGAAGAACACCCGUGGCGAAGGCGGCUCUCUGGAACGCAACUGACGCUGAGACGCGAAAGCGUGGGGAGCAAACAGG